CGCCUACGGGGGGCAGCAGUAGGGAAUUUUCGUCAAUGGGCGCAAGCCUGAACGAGCGAUGCCGCGUGAGUGAAGAAGGCCUUCGGGUCGUAAAGCUCUGUUGCGGGGGAAAAAAGGCAGCAUCAGGAAAUGGGUGCUGACUGAUGGUGCCCCGCCAGAAAGUCACGGCUAACUACGUGCCAGCAGCCGCGGUAAUACGUAGGUGGCGAGCGUUAUCCGGAAUGAUUGGGCGUAAAGGGUGCGUAGGCGGCUUCUUAAGUCUGUAGUCUAAGCCCGGAGCUUACCUCCGGUUCGCUACAGAAACU
rnacentral:rRNA from 1 species